rnacentral:rRNA from 1 species
UGACCUCAAAUCAGGUAGGACUACCCGCUGAACUUAAGCAUAUCAAUAAGCGGAGGAAAAGAAACUAACAAGGAUUCCCCUAGUAACUGCGAGUGAAGCGGGAAAAGCUCAAAUUUAAAAUCUGGCGGUCUUUUGGCUGUCCGAGUUGUAAUCUAGAGAAGUGUUAUCCGCGCUGGACCGUGUACAAGUCUCCUGGAAUGGAGCAUCAUAGAGGGUGAGAAUCCCGUCUUUGACAUGGACUGCCAGGGCUUUGUGAUGCGCUCUCAAAGAGUCGAGUUGUUUGGGAAUGCAGCUCAAAAUGGGUGGUAAAUUCCAUCUAAAGCUAAAUAUUGGCGAGAGACCGAUAGCGAACAAGUACCGUGAGGGAAAGAUGAAAAGAACUUUGGAAAGAGAGUUAAACAGUACGUGAAAUUGCUGAAAGGGAAACGCUUGAAGUCAGUCGCGUCAUCCAGGGAUCAACCUUGCUUUUGCUUGGUGCACUUCCUGGUUUGAUGGGUCAGCAUCAAUUUUGACUAUUGGAAAAAGGCUGAGGGAAUGUGGCAUCUUCGGAUGUGUUAUAGCCCUUGGUCGCAUACAAUGGUUGGGAUUGAGGAACUCAGCACGCCGCAAGGCCGGGUUUUAAACCACGUACGUGCUUAGGAUG